rnacentral:rRNA from 1 species
GAAUCAGAAUGUCGCGGUGAAUACGUUCCCGGGCCUUGUACACACCGCCCGUCACACCAUGAGAGCUGGUAACACCCGAAGUCCGUGAGGUAACCGUAAGGAACCAGCGGCCGAAGGUGGGAUUAGUAAUUGGGGUGAAGUCGUAACAAGGUAGCCGUAGGAGAACCUGCGGCUGGAUCACCUCCUUUCUAAGGAGA